rnacentral:tRNA from 1 species
UGGGAUGUAGCUCCAUGGAAGAGUGCUCACCUAACUAGUGAGAGGAAAGCCCUGGGUUCAAUCCUUAGCAAUGCAA